rnacentral:rRNA from 1 species
AGUGAACGCUGGCGGUAGGCCUAACACAUGCAAGUCGAACGGCAGCACAGUAAGAGCUUGCUCUUACGGGUGGCGAGUGGCGGACGGGUGAGGAAUACAUCGGAAUCUACUUUUUCGUGGGGGAUAACGUAGGGAAACUUACGCUAAUACCGCAUACGACCUACGGGUGAAAGCAGGGGAUCUUCGGACCUUGCGCGAUUGAAUGCGCCGAUGUCGGAUUAGCUAGUUGGCGGGGUAAAGGCCCACCAAGGCGACGAUCCGUAGCUGGUCUGAGAGGAUGAUCAGCCACACUGGAACUGAGACACGGUCCAGACGCCUACGGGAGGCAGCAGUGGGGAAUAUUGGACAAUGGGCGCAAGCCUGAUCCAGCCAUACCGCGUGGGUGAAGAAGGCCUUCGGGUUGUAAAGCCCUUUUGUUGGGAAAGAAAAGCAGCAGGUUAAUACCCCGCUGUUCUGACGGUACCCAAAGAAUAAGCACCGGCUAACUUCGUG